rnacentral:rRNA from 1 species
GACGAACGCUGGCGGCGUGCCUAAUACAUGCAAGUCGAGCGGACAGAAGGGAGCUUGCUCCCGGAAGUUAGCGGCGGACGGGUGAGUAACACGUGGGCAACCUACCCUGUAGAUCGGGAUAACAUCGAGAAAUCGGUGCUAAUACCGGAUAAUCAUUUGAAGUGCAUGCUUCGAAUGUAAAAGAUGGCUCCGGCUAUCACUACGGGAUGGGCCCGCGGCGCAUUAGCUAGUUGGUAAGGUAAUGGCUUACCAAGGCAACGAGGCGUAGCCGACCUGAGAGGGUGAUCGGCCACACUGGGACUGAGACACGGCCCAGACUCCUACGGGAGGCAGCAGUAGGGAAUCUUCCGCAAUGGACGAAAGUCUGACGGAGCAACGCCGCGUGAGUGAUGAAGGUUUUCGGAUCGUAAAGCUCUGUUGUUAGGGAAGAACAAGUGCCGUUUGAAUAAGGCGGCACCUUGACGGUACCUAACCAGAAAGCCACGGCUAACUACGUGCCAGCCGCCGCUGUAAAAC